GGUGACCCACCAUUCAGCUUCCAUAGUCGUGCUGGCAGGAGGAUGAGAACGAAUAAUGGUUACCUUUCCUUUCUAGAGCGGGGUGGUAUCGUAAUUCACUAGUAGUACCUAAAACCCAUAAGGACCCAAAUGUUAGUGUUUUUUGGUCAAGCAAGUGAACUUAUGUUGUUGUUACUGUUUAUAGGUAUAUAGGUUUGUCAGAAUCUUCAAACAAAUGGAACAAAAGAAAGUUAGCAAUAUGUUUAUGUGUACUAGCACUUUAAUAUGAUGUGAUGCAAUGUGUGUGGUCCAUUUCUGAUGGGGUCAUCGCCUUUGUUCUUUUCUGAAGAUUUGGAUAUGACACACAAGUUGAGUUUAGUCACGUAGGCGAAUUUUUUGCAUUGGUGAAAUUUGAGCCAUUCAAAUAGUUUUUAAAUCCAGUGAAAUUUGAGCUAUUCAAAUAAGUGGUCACAUGGGAUCCCAUGAGACUUGACGAUGGUCCCCGUUAGCAACGCUUGGGUAGUCGAUUCCCUUUCCCCUCCAUCGUGGCUCACUGCUUGAGGGUCCGGAUAGCCUUCAGUUGCGCUUCCCGGUUGGCCAACCAUGAUGUCGAUCAUCAACCUUCAUACUCUUACGGCUAUGCAUCGGAGGCCAACGGUGAUCCUCUUUUUCUUAGAAAAAUUCUCCUACACUUACCAACUUUUGCCAAUUGCUUGCAAGAACCUCAUUGCCAAGUCUGAAAACAGUUAAUGUGUGUGUUGAUGGUAAUACCCUAUGGCCGAGAUAUUUUUACAGAUGGUGAAGAAGAUGGAACAGUCCAAGGAGAACAUCAAUGCCAAGAAGGGUGACGCCCUGCUGCGGUAGUUGCAUCUGGUGAACGGUGACCCACCAUUCAACUUCCAUAGCCUUGCUGGCAGGAGGAAGAGGACUUGAAUCUGGUUGUCUUAUGUGUUUGAUGUAACUACAACAACAAUGGUGGUGAUGAUAGUAGUUACGUUUUCUUUGCAAAGAGGGAUGAUAUAUUAAUUUACUAGUGGUACCUAAAACCCAUAAAGACCCAAAUAUCAGUGUUUAUCUAGUCAAGCAAGUGAACUUGUGCUGUUGUUACUGUUUGUAGGUGAUGAUGGGUUUGUGAGAAAAACUUCAAACAAAUGGGAAAAAAUAGCAAUAUGCUGAUGUGUACUCCGAAAGUCCCCUUCUACUCCCGAGCUUAAUUGAGCUCAGGAUGAACGGUAAAUUAAACAAAAUUAAAAUACUUCAAUAAACUCUGAAUUUUUUGGGUGUAAACAUUGACAAAUGUUCUCAGUGCUUGUAAAUUUUAUCCCGAAAUAACAUUCAGUUUUUUUGGCAUGACUUUCGCGAAUGUUAUUUCGGGAUGAAAUUUGCAAGCAUGAAAACAUUUGUCAAAGUUUGAACCUGGAAUAAUUCAUUUUUUUCUUUUUUGAUUUUACUGUUCAUUAGAGAGCAUAUGAGGUCAGGGCUAGAUACUCUGCGUCUUGUGUACUCGCGCUUUAAUAUGAUGUGAUGCUAUGUGUGUGUUCCAUUUUCUGUUUAUGUUGGAGUCUUGUCCUUUUUUAGCUUCUGAAGAAGUGGAAAUGACACACGAGUUGAGUUUAGUCACAUAGUGCAUCGGAGUCCAGGAGUGAUCCUCCUUUUCUAAGAAAAAAACCCUCAUGCAAUUACCGUCAUUUGCCAAUUGCUUGCAACAACCCAAUAGCCAAGUCUUAAAAUAGUAAAUGGGUGUGUGCUUGAUUAUGUUUAUAUUACAUCCAAUAUUAACUGAUGUUCAAACAGAAUAUUAUGUAUACUCUUUGAUCUAAGGUUAUUUUUAAUAACUUGGAUUUUCUGUCACGAACAAAUCAAAGAACCGGCGUUCCAACUAGGUACAGCCGCAACGGUUCGGUUGCCCGUUUGUUUCUAGAAAAUAUAGUUUGAUGGCCGUGGAGGAAGAACGCGACAUAAAGUGCUUUGUAUCCUGAGAACGGCGAGGAGAAACGAGCAGGUGGCGGCAGCACUUGGCACUUCAAGCAAUAGGGAGACUGGACCAUAGGGAGAGGAAGUGAGAUGAGUUCGUGUGUGCAUGUAUUUUAGGGAAAGAGCGUGUGUAUUGUAUUAUUUUUAUUGUUUUUUUGUGUGCAUGAAGUGUUUUGUUUGGGCCAAGCCCAAAUAAUGAAAAUAAAACAUGAUCUCUAAAAGUAUUCAACAUCCUAUAGAUCCCUUUGCAUUCAUUAUCUUUUGCAAAUUCUAAAAAACCUUUUGAUUAGUUAUUAAACUUUUAAAUUGUAUAUAACAGUUUCACCGUCUGUAUAUCCUACUUAGAACACAUCCACCACUUCGCUUUCACCCGGUCAUAGUGAUAAGUGAAAGGACGCGCCAUCGAGGGACAUGACUAUGACUUCCUCAACUCUAUACUACAUGGUCCAAAUACCAACGUUCUUUUUUUAGUGUGGACACAAAGCGUGUGGUUUUUUUAAGAGAAAGACUGUUUAUACUUGUUUCUUAUUUCAAAAAAUAUGAACAUUUUAAAAUAUGUUCACCAUUUUUAUAUCCAAUAUUUCUAAAAAAUGCACCCUUCUUUUUGAAAUGUUUGCAUUUAAAAAUAUUCUGAAAAUAAUAAAUCAAAAUUGUUUUUAAAAGUCUUGUGUUAAAAUGUGAAUCUUAAAAAAAUCCCAUUUUUAUAAAAAUGAUUAAAAAAUAAAAAUUGUUACUUUUUAAAAGUUAAAUAUUCAUGUUCUCUCUAAAGGUAAAAAGACGAUUGACAAAUUAUUCCAUGCACAACUACUCUUUCAUCACAUGACGGAUGUUAAGGUGGCUUCUUCACAUCCACACUUCAAACUCCGAAAAGAGAUAAUUAGAAUUGCAUAUAAGAAAUGUUGUGCAAUGGCACGCAGAAAGCAGAUUUUGCUUUUUUUGGCCCGUUGCAACGCACAGGCAUUUGUACUAGUAUUGCAAAAGUCUAUUAGAUUUAACCCUAAGGCUUCAAAGUUAUAAACAAUCUAGUUUGAAUUUGGUUCAAAUUAAUUAAAAUCCCUAAAGUCAAUAAUAACCCCAAAACAUUUGCUAAAGUUCAUUUUAAGUUUCUGAACUUAGUUACAACUUAAUUAUCCUAAUAAGCUCUUUAGGUUCAAAUAUUGUUUGAAGUGUAGCUUCUGCUAAAAUAUAUUUAAUGUCAAUAUUAAAUUAUUUUAAAAUUGAACUACAAUAUCUAACUUCAAACUAUAUUUCACUAGGUUCAUUCUACAAAAAUAAUCAAUUCAUUUGGAUUUAUAAAUUGCAAGUUACACCCUAUUGAAAUUUGAAUUCAUGUUGUUUGAAUUUGAAUUUAAGCUAUUCAAUGGUUAAAUAUUAAUGGACUAUGUGAAAGUGUAUUUAUUAAGGAUGAUAUUGCAAAAGAAUUUCUCAAUUUGGAUUUACAGAUAAAAAGUUGUGAGUGUUUGAAGUUCUAGUUUUUUUUUAAAUCUACCGUUUAAUUCAAUUUAGGAGAAAUUUGAGUGGAUAAUGUUUUGGAUAAGGCGGGUGGCGUGGCAGUUUCCUAUUGGCUGAUACCGAUUCGGUUUAAGUGGACUGCUAUGGUGCGUGCGGUCAAAAUCUAACAAUCCAAAUUAGAUAUAGCGGUUAGGGUUUCGGUGGUUCACCACAAUCUCGCCGAAGAGUCGCUAGAAAACACACGCAUGGGGGCACUAUGCUCGGGAGUUGUUAGAUAUGGAGUUCCAGGGGGUUUCUGGGGUAGCAGAGGGCACAGACAGGCUCGGCGUUGCUCGGGGAGAUCGAAGGGGCAUCGGCUGGCCUCGAGGGUGAAGGAGACUCGCGGGGCGAGCUCACUGAAGUUCGGUUGCGUCGGCGGGGUUUCGGGUGAUGAAGCGGUGCUCGAGAUUGAGUGCCUAAUGAUGAACCAAGCGGAUUAGAUGAUGCAUCUGAUCAAGGGGAACACGAUGGAGAAGGUUGUGGGGCAAGACACUCACAGUGUCGCUGGAGUUGAGGUCAUAACAGCGGCGAGACUCGGGCUUCGUCGAAGUCGAAUAGAGGAAGCUCAUGUCGCCGCGAAAGAUGUCCAGGGGGUACGCCAUUGUGUGGGGAGUCAAGUGGUGGCGGUGGUUGGUCUCGGGGUGACUGUACUCGGCGGAAUCGACACUGGAGUUUCUUGGUCAGUGGCGGAGCUCGGGGGUUCACCGGCGAGGAGCCUGGUGGCGUUGUGAGGGGGAUGCAGAGGGGAAGUGGUGAGAGUGUCUGGGGCUAUUUAAUGGACAUGGAGGUAGGAGCUGGCAUGGAUGGUAUGCGCGCGAGGUGGAGAUCGUGGUUGGUGUGCACGCGUGGGCGGUUGGAGGUUGGGGGUGACCCUGACUAGUGGGACCCACUGGUCAGCAACUUAGGGAGAGAGAGAGAGGGUGUGCGUGGGGUUCGGUUGUGGCUGGCUUAACUUGGCUAGCAUGGCUAGCUUGCUCGGCUGGGCAUUUUUAUUUUUCCAUUUUUUGUUUUUUGUUUUGCCUUUGCCUUUUCAUUUGAAUUUGAUUUGAUUUUUCUAUCCAAAUAAAACUUUGCCUAAUUUCAAAUAUGAAUAUUUAUGCCAACAUUUUAUUUGGCUAUUUUGAGCAUACGUUUUCUGCACUUUAUUUUCCAUCUUCAAUUUCAAUUUGGUUUAAACCCAAAUAUGUUUGAAAUCCAAUGGAAAAUUUGGCAGAAGGUCAAGCCAAUUAUUUGGACAUGUGGGAUUCACUCUCUUGCUAAAUAAAUGCAAGCCCCUUUUCAUAAAAAUCCCCAUUUGAUUUUUGAAUUGAUUCCAACCAAUCCACUCCAAUCAUUUAGGAAAAAUUAUUAGCGCUUGAAUAUCAUCUAGGUCUUAUUUAGGAUAGCCUUAUGCCCAAAUAAAUAUUUUAAUUUUCAACCUAUAUUGGGAUUCUGAUUUAUUCCCUAAACCUUGUAGGGUUGAUUCUGUUUCUCCCAAAUUUCAAACAAAGGUUUCAAUCUGGCCAUAGGGUCCUUGACUCUCUAGGUGAAUUCAAAUAGUGCAAACACGUCAACCAUCAAGAAAAUUCCUAGACAAUAUUUAGCUAGAGGCUAACAAGCAUAGGUUUUCUCAGAAAAAAAUAAUUCCCUCACAAAUCUCCUGGCCUAAUGCAAUGAUGUUGCAUUGACCACACAUGUGGGCAAUAUAGCGCGAUCUGACAUAGAGCGUUCGUGUUGUAUCCUUUUUGGUGAGACAUAUUGAUAGCCAUAUGUUACAAAAUGAAGGGAGGAGAUGAUAUAGGGGUGUGGGUGGAGUAGGGUCCACAGUUUCACUAUUUUAGGGAACCACGACCCUUUUCCCCAUUAAAACUGGGCUUGCCGUGAGCUGCAUUUACACCACACGCACUCUCUCCCUUCUUUCCCACACCAGAUCUCCUCGCCCUCGAGUUUUUAGCCGGUUUGGCUCACCGCCGCAUCGCCUUCGCCGGAAUCCGUCCGCUCUCGCACUCAUACGAGGUAGGAAUCAUGGAUCCACCCACUCUUUUCCUCGUCGUCCUAAUCUUAGACGUGUUUGAUGUGCGCUGUAUUAAUGACAAAUUUUUGCGAAAUCUGCGAAGCUGAUCUGGGAUAUAAGUGGUUUUAAGGGAGAAUACAAGUUCAAUUUCUGUCAGGUGGUGAGGCGCACGUUAAUUUUUGAUAUUAUAAUUCAUCGAUUUCAUCUGUAUGCUCGUGCCUCGACAAGGAUUUCGAGGGCUAAGGUUUGGUCGGGGAGGGGGGGAUGCAGGAUCUAACCCCGCAUGAUGAAAUUGUUGUCGAUUGGGAAGCAGAGUGGCUCGGUCUUAAUGUUCUAGUUUUGUAAACAUGUGUUUGUGAAUUAGUAGAGUUAGGGGAACGAGAGACACAAGAUGAUGCAUGUUUGUGCGGUGGUUCGGGGAAGUGCUUGGGCAUGUGGACAUGCAUCUUGGUAUCCUCUAGCCAUGAUUUCCAUCUGGACCCCCCUCCCACCCUUGGUGGUCCAGCACACUUUAAUUUUUUGUUAUUAUGAUUCAUUGAUUUCAUAUGUGUGCUCGCCACGACAAGGAUUUUGGGGGCUAAGGUUUGGUCGGGGAGGGGUGGGGUGGGAGGAUGCAGGAUCUGACCCCGCAUGAUGAAACUGUUGUCGAUUUGGGAAGCAAUGUGGCCCAGUCUUCAGGUUCUAGUCAUGUAAAGGUGUGUUUGUGAAUUAGUAGAGUUAGUGGAACAUGAGACAUGAGAUGAUGCAUGUUUGUGCGGUGGUUGGUGGAAGUGCUAGGGCGGGCAGAAAUGCAUCUUGGUAUCAUCUAGCCAUUAUUUCUAUCUGAACCCCCCUUGCUGACCGCCUACAGUUUUUCUAAUACUCCAAUUUUUUGUUGAUUUUCCACUCCUUGAAGGGACAAUAUGACAUUUUUCUGGAACACGCAAGAGUUCGUAUGCCAUUUUUUUAGAACACACAAGAGUCAGUAUGAGAUGUCUCGCAAAAAAGGGUAUGAGAUUAGUAUAUGCCACAAUUGUUUAAACUAUAUUGGUGUAGUUGUGGUCCUUAGAGGCCCACUAGUGCACGACAAAUUCUAGGCCUAGAUUCCCUCUAGAUGAUCCAGGGCUCCAGGCCAAAAAAUAAAAGGUAGACAUGCAAUUUAACAUGCAUGUCUCACUUUCUCCAAAAAAAUGCAUGUCUCACUCUUUUUGCGUGUAGAAUGACUUUACCUUUUGUCACCUAUCUAUUCUUUCCAUUUUUGAUGACACCACAUUUGUCACCUCUAUGAAUUGAAGAGCAUCGUGCUGUAAGACUCCUUGUACUAAUCCAUCCCACGAAUUAGAAACGGCGAUCUUGGCAGUAGUAGGCAGUGGCAAACGGCCACACGCGGUUUACGCAUAUACUUAUCUCCCAUGCUAACAUGCAUAAUGCUCAGUCGUUGGUACUGAGGCGUCCCAGCGGCAACCAUCAUCGGGUAGCUAUUGAAUGGAACCAGCACAACCCCCGAGUUUGUCUAAUAUACCGGGCUUAACUUGUGGCCACGUUUGGCGCUUUGGCAGUACCCUAUCUAUCCAGUACGAGAUGAACUAUCUACUAAUGUAUCUAUCUAUCUAUAGCCCACCUUUUUCAUCAAUGACAUGAAUUUAAUAGCUAUCUAAUGCUUUAAUUGAUACUUAUCUCUUGCAUGCUGCAUGCUAUAAAUAGGGGGAGCGGCACAAGACUGGACCACACACCAGAACCCACAAGCAAGAGUAGGUAGAGCGAGACCACCGUGGCGAGGAGAGAUAGGAUGGAAUCGGACAUGAGCAAGGACGUGAAUUUCUCCGAGGAAGAAGUCACCUCGCACCCGCGCGUUCUCGAAUGUGAGGAGCAGAUGGUUGCAUCGGCACGGCAGUCUUCCAUCUUCGCGCCAACGUUGGACGAGAUGCAAUACUCUAUGUGCGUGGCAGGGCACAACUUUGGGUCCAUGAACAUGGACGAGUUCAUGAGCAACAUAUGGAAUGCCAAGGAGUUCCAAGAGGCGACCGGUGGUGUCUUGGUGGGCAUGGAGGUGGCUUCGGUGGUGGGUGCUCAUGGAGGCCGAGGUGGCAAAGAUGCAGGAGGAAGCAACCUAGCCCGACAGGAGUCGUUCUCCUUGCCUCCCCCGCUAUGCCGGAAGAUGGUGGAGGAGGUGUGGGCUGAGAUCAACAGGGAGACCCGCCCGGUGCAUUCCCAGCCUCAGUCCGCGCGGCCCUCGCCAUUGAUUCCCGUCGAACCACCGGCGGGGAAUGGUGGUGGGGUUGCGGCGAAUGAACAGCGGGGGACGCUUGGAGAGAUGACGCUAGAACAAUUUCUUGUCAAGGUUGGCGUGGUCCGGGGAUCUGGCACUGGCGGCCAAGCGCCUGGGCCGGUCGGCAUGGUCCAUGGACAGAUGAACCCUACACCGGCCAAUGGCAUGUUCCAGGUGAUGGGCGAUGGCAUGGUGUUCAUCCCCAACGGGUACGUAGGGAUGGUCGUGGUGCCGCCACCACCACCUCCUCAAGGUGGGGUGGGUAUCGUGAGCCUAGGGUCGUCGGACGGGAGGAGCACCAUGACGGAGGUUGACAUGAUGAACUAUAUGGGCGACAGAACAAUGAUGGAGAACAGCGGCGCGCGGAAGCGCGGCGCUCCGGAGGAUCAGUCCUGCGAGGGGAGCAUCGAGCGCCGCCACCACCGCAUGAUCAAGAACCGUGAGUCAGCCGCACAAUCGCGUGGCAGGAAGCAGGUACUUACUUGGCUGCCAAAAUUGUUGGCUUUAUGCAAUGCCAUUUCUGCAAUGGUGGUAACUGGUAACAAGGUUGGUGACACUUACACUCUUUGUCUUUCUUAACCGGACAGGCUUAUACCAAGGAGCUUGAAGCCGAACUAAACCACCUCAAGGAGGAGAACUCUCGUCUGAAAGCUAAGGAGGUACGAAUUUGCUUACCAAUGAAACCAUGAGAAAAUUCAGUUUUCUUAGUCUUUUCAGUUCUUACAGUUACUAAAAUGUUUCACCAUUUUGUUGCAGAAGACAAUUUUGCUGACCAAGAAACAAAUUGUAUGUACAUUUUCCCACCAUCAUGUGGCAAUCCUCCUACACUCACCAUCACUUGCCAAUUGCUUGUGACAAUCUAAAUGCAAGGUCUUCAAACAGUCAAUGUGUGUGUGCUGAUGAAAACACCUUGUGGCUGUGAUCUUUUAUUUCUUACAGCUAGUUGAGAAGAUGAUGGAGCAGUCCAAGGAAAAUGUGAACGCCAAGAAGGGUGGCGCCCUGUCGCGGCGCUGCAGUAGCUGCAUCUGGGGAUAGGUGACCCACCAUUCAGCUUCCAUAGUCGUGCUGGCAGGAGGAUGAGAAUGAAUAAUGGUUACCUUUCCUUUCUAGAGCGGGGUGGUAUCAUAAUUUACUAGUUGUACCUAAAACCCAUAAGGACCCAAAUGCCAGUGUUUUUCUGGUCAAGCAAGUGAACUUAUGUUGUUGUUACUGUUUAUAGGUAUAUAGGUUUGUCAGAAACUUCAGGAAAAUGGAACAAAAGAAAGUUAGCAAUAUGUU
rnacentral:lncRNA from 1 species